UAAGAUGAGGUGUCAGAAUGGGUGGCAU
rnacentral:piRNA from 1 species